CACUACUUGCAUUUUGUGUCCUUUAUUGUUAUUUAACUUGGUGCUAAUUAUUUUUAUAAUUUAUAAGCAUAUUUGUUCCCUUUAAAAAGCACCAUUGUAUAAUUAUAACUGCAUACAAUGGAUCGUCAUAGGGAACUUACAUUAUACAAGUACAUUGUGGGUGAGGUGUGGGCAUGUGCCCAUUAUCUCAAGAUGUACUGGGACAUUGCUUUAAUCAGAAUAUUAACCUUUAGUUCAAACCCAUGUACUAAUGGUACAUCGCUCAAAAUGUUGUGUCUGCAUCAAGUUUAGGUGUUUGGCAAUUAAAAUAUUAAUUACCAAUUGUAUAUAAAGCUUAAACCACUAAAAUGUUUUAAAAUUGUUAACCAUUCAACUACUAUUAUCAAGUCAUUUAACUUGUAUGAUUGUUAGCCUAUAUAAUUACUUUUUGGACAACAAUCCCCUAUACUUACACAAAAUAAGAAUCUAAUAGCAAAAUUCUUACAUUACAGAACCAGCUAAGAGCCAACUCCUGCAAUAGUUAGGGGAUGCUGUAUAUUGGGCACAAUAUAUAAAUGCCGUAUUGGUGCAGUGACAUUGCUCAAUGGUUGGGCACCUGCAUCCUAACCAAAGGAGACCGGGUUCAAUGCCCUACUGUGGUACCAUUGUUGGCCUAUCUCCAACAGUUAUAGCUCCAACCCAGUGAUCUAUUAAUGGGUCAUAGCACCCUAGGUGUUGGGUGAUGGCUGGCUCUGCCCUAAAUCCCAGGUCCCAUGGUGUGCACAUUUUUGCUUAUAUGACGUUAUCUGUGUUUCACUUCGUAUUUUCAUAAUAAACUGUGUACCCACGUA